GCCGGGGGCCGAGGAGGCGUGUCGGGGGUCUCGCCACUCAGCCUGAGGCAACCUGGGAUCAACGUUAUUGAUAGCUGGCGGCUGCUGGCGCGCCGGUUGCACGCCGGGAGCACGUCCCUGCGUGUUGAUACGUGGAUCGCGGGGACCAAAAAUCAGACUCUAAGAAGCAUAACUCGAGGCCGAGGGACGUUCAGAAUUAGGCCAGGCUUCUGCAGGCGCUGAAAUUCUUUGUACCCAUGUUGAAUAGGAGUGGUAAGAAGGAACAUCUUUGCCUUGUUCCACAUCUUAGAGGAAAAGCAUUCAAACUUUUACCAAAGAAGGAGGAGGAGGAGAAAAAGAAGAAAGAAAAGAAAUAAUCAACAAGGAGGAAAGAAAUAAUCAACAAGGAGGGGGCAAGACGGGGCUUCUGGAAUCCUGGUGAUGUUCUGUUUCUUGAUCUGGGUGUUGGUUACAAGUAAACCAUACUGCCCAGGGUUAUGGCCAGGGUUGUCCCAGGUGAAGCAGGACACCCUGAGUGAAGACUGAGACACAGCCUUCUCUGUCAACAAGGUCACGUUCCAGCUGGUAAUGGACAAUCAUAAACGGAAUUGCUUGCUCUGGGGGACACCAGCUGCCAGGUUGUCAGGAGAGGCUCAUGUGAAGAGGAGCUACUGCAUUCUGCGAAAAACUACAUGAGUGAGCUUGAAGCAAAUGUUCCUGCCCCAGCCAAGCCUUCAGCUGACUGCAGCCCCAGCUGACAUCUAGACUGCAAGAUCCGCUACCUACCUAAUCUGCUUCCAGAGUCCUGACCUUCAGAAACUGAGAUAAGAAACGUUUGUUGGUGGACUUCCCUGGUGGCUCAGUGGUUAAGAGUCUGCCUGCCAAUGCAGGGGACAUGGGUUGGAUCCCUGGUCUGGGAAGAUCCCACAUGCCAUGGAGCAACUAAGCCCGUGUGCCACAACUACUGAACCUGCGUGCCACAACUACUGAAGCCUGUGCGCCUAGAGCCCGUGCUCUGCAACAAGAGAAGCCACCACAAUGAGAAGCCCGAGCACCGCAACAAAGAGUAGCCCCCGUUCUCCGCAACUAGAGAAAGCCCGCACGCAGCAACGAAGACCCAACGCAGCCAAAAAUAAAUAAAUACAUAAAUAAAUUUAUAAAAAAAAAAAAAAAGGAAAAGAAACGUUUGUUGGGGGACUUCCCUGGUGGUGCAGUGGUUAAGAAUCCUCCUGCCAAAAAAAAAAAAAAAAGAAUCCUCCUGCCAAUGCAGGGGACACGGGUUCAAUCCCUGGUUCGGGGAGAUCCCACAUGCCGCAAAGCAACUAAGCCCAUGUGCCACAACUACUGAGCCUGCACCCUGAGCCCGCGCACCGCAACUGCUGAGCCCACGUGCCACAACUACUGAAGCCCACGCGCCGAGAGCCCGUGCUCCGCAACAAGAGAAGCCACCACAAUGAGAAGCCCGAGCAUCUUAACGAAGAGUAGCCUCUGCUCGCCACAACUAGAGAAAGCCUGCAAGCAGCCAAAAAAAAAAAAACAAAAACAAAAAAAAGAAACGUUUGUUGGGAAUUCCCUGGCGGUCCAGUGGUUAGGACUUGGCACUUCCAGUGCCUGGGACUGGGUUCAAUCCCUUGUCGGGGAACUAAGAUCCCCCAAGCUGCGUGGUGCAGCCAAAAAAGGAAGAAAGGUUUGUUGUUUUAAGUCCCUAAAUUUUGGGACAACUUAUGAUGCAGCAAUAGAGGACUGAUCCAGAGGAUAAAAGCACUUAGCAUAGUGCCUGGCACAUAGUAGGGGCUUUAGGAAAUGCAGCAUCUGUAGGUCUGGAAUUAUGGAUUUGGGAAUCUUUGGGCUUAGAGACAAGAAUGGAAUCCACAGAGGUGGCUGAGCCAGUCCACAGGGAGGAGUAGAUGGAGAAGAGAGUAUGGCCUUGGCCAGAAACCUGGGCAUAAGGAGUGGGUAAAGCAAGAGGAGGAGCAUCUCCAUGAGUCUAAGAGGAAGGAGGAAAACUAGAACAGGGCUCGGGGAAGAGGUUGUCCCUAGGAGAGUGUGGUCAGUGAUAUCACUGCAGGGAGGCCUGAGAGGAGAUCUGAGGAGUGUCUUUCGGAUUCAACAACAAGGAGUUUUCUGGUGGCCCCACAAGAGCUAUGCAGGUGGAGAAGUGGGCCCCUAAGGUCAGAUUGAAAGCUGUGGGUCGGUAUAUAAGGGUAAACACUUUCUACGCCCAAGCCCCAAACCAAGAUGGUUUACAGGAGAAUCCUAUAGAAAAUCUAAACCACAGAAAAACCCCAAUCUUAUAGAAGCUGCUCUAGUGAGUAGACACCGAUUCCUUAAUUUAUUUUUUUAAAAAUUAUUUAUUUAUUUAUUUAUUUGGCUGCGUCGGGUCUUAGUUGCGGCACGCAGGAUCUUUGUUGCAGUACGCGGAUCUUUCAUUGCAGCACGCGGGCUCAAGAGCGCUCGGGCUCAGUAGUUGUGGUGCAUGGGCUUAGCUGCCCUGCGGCAUGUGGGAUCUUAGUUCCCCAACCAGGGAUUGAACCCCACGUCCCCUGCAUUGGAAGGCAGAUUCUUAACCACUGGAUCACCAGGGAAGUCCCCCCUUAACUUAUUUUAUGAGGCUCAUGUAACUUUGAUAGCAAAAUCAGACAAAGAGAGAAUAAGACAGGAAAAUAGUAGGCAUAUCUCAUUCAUAGAUAUGGACACAAAAACUCUAAAUUAUUAGCAAAUGAAAUCCAGCACUAUUUUGGAAAAAAAAGCACAUCAUCAAGGAAUGCAUGGAUGGGUUAUAGUAAAAUCCAUGGUUGUAAUUAAUUACAUUAGGGGGGAAAAUCUCACAUUUGAUAAAAUUCAACACCCAUUCAUAAUAAAGCAGAAUGGUACAUCCUUACUUUGAUAAAGGGUAUCUACCAAAAAUCUACAAGAAACACCAUAUUUAAUGGUGCCAUAUUAGAAGCAGUCAAGAACAAGAUAAAAAUGUCACUAUCAUCAUUGUUACUCAACAUUGUGCUGGAGAUUUUAGUCAGUGCAGUAAAAUAAGGAAAAGGAAAUAAAGACUGGACAGGAAGAUACCAAAUGUUAUUACUUACAGACUCUAUAACUACUUACAUAGAAAAUUCAAGAAAGCCUGUAAACUUCCUAGAACUAAAUUAGAACUAAAAAAGAGUUUGCUGGAUAUAAGAUUAUUAUAUAAUAUGAACUACAUUUCAAUAACCAUCAAUAGGUUAUAAAACACAAAUUUGAAAAUAUAAUUUACAAUAGUAUUAAAAACUUUGAGAUGUGUAGGAAUUGUUCUGAGAAAACCACUGACAAAAUUAAUUCCUCUCAGUUUUUAGUUGAGGAAAUAGAAGCCCCGAGAGGAGAAAUGACUCCUCCAAGGACACCAGUAAGCCAGGGGCAAUUUUGGAUUUUCAGUGGCACCAAAUCCUGGAGAUCUGUGUUGGGUACUUUCAGCAUUACCUUUCUUCUGUAAAAAAUAAAACUCGUAUUUUUCUGAUUAUAAAUUCAGCAUCCGUGCAUUCUAGAAAAUAUAGAAAAUUCAGAAGAACAUUUGGAAGUAGUAAGUCACUAAUAUUCCCAUCAUACUGCCUAGAACUAGGAUCAGUGAUUUCGUGUAUUUCCAUCAAAAUUUUUGCC